AUGGAGCUGUCGUCUGCUUUCGAGGAGCGCGUCCGGCAGAUGGAGGACGCGCGCAACCACUGCAUGACCCGCCUCCAAGCCGAGAAGGAGAUCCAGGCCGCCAAGUCCCGCCUCCUCGCCGCCAAGGUCGCCGCCGCCCGCCGCCUCGAGGGCCGCCGCCUCCUCCUCGAGCGCCGCGCCGCGGACCUCGCCUCCCGCGCCCUCGCCGCCCGCGCCGGCAUCGACGCCGCCAACGCGCGCCGCCUCGCCGUCGCCCGCGACAUCAGCUCGACCAACGGCGAGAUCGAGGAGGCGCAGCGGAAGGCGGAGGAGUGGGACCGCUUCUACGAGUCCAAGAGGAAGGAGAUGGAGGAGUUCCGGGCGAUGUCGCAGCAGUUCGAGGCGGGAGCUCGUCAGGAAGUGCAGAGGCUCAAGGCCUCUGUGUCUCAACUGCAGGCAGCCCUGCAGGAGCUGCAGAGCGGCGGGUUGCGCUCGGACGACGCCGGGAUCGGGACCGCGGAAGCCAGGAAGGCCGACCUCAUGGCCAAGAAGGCGAAGCUGGAUGUGAGCCUGGCUGCUGCCCGACAGUUCAGAGCACUGCUUCGGCAGCAGCUCCAGAAAGCCUUCGCGUCACAGGUUAGGGAUCAAAAGGCAGCACAAAACUGA
rnacentral:rRNA from 1 species